rnacentral:rRNA from 1 species
AUUGAACGCUGGCGGCAUGCUUUACACAUGCAAGUCGAACGGCAGCGCGGGCUUCGGCCUGGCGGCGAGUGGCGAACGGGUGAGUAAUGCAUCGGAACGUGCCCAGUAGUGGGGGAUAGCCCGGCGAAAGCCGGAUUAAUACCGCAUACGACCUGAGGGUGAAAGCGGGGGACCGAAAGGCCUCGCGCUAUUGGAGCGGCCGAUGUCGGAUUAGCUAGUUGGUGGGGUAAAGGCUUACCAAGGCGACGAUCCGUAGCUGGUCUGAGAAGACGACCAGCCACACUGGGACUGAGACACGGCCCAGACUCCUACGGGAGGCAGCAGUGGGGAAUUUUGGACAAUGGGGGCAACCCUGAUCCAGCCAUGCCGCGUGCGGGAAGAAGGCCUUCGGGUUGUAAACCGCUUUUGUUCGGGAAGAAAUCCUCUGGGCUAAUACCCCGGGGGGAUGACGGUACCGGAAGAAUAAGCACCGGCUAACUACGU